AGGAAAUUUCGGCAAGACUAGAGUCCCUUCAGGCGAGACGAUAAGCAACCCAGCAACACUCAGUAAGUGUACCGACCGAGACAAUGGAAAUGCCAGUCUUCUCGGUGCCGUUGCCUGAUACGGGUACACUUAGCUUAUAUAUCCGGCGGUAUCAACUAGGCUGAAGGCGCGUCUUUACCCCCCUAGCUGUCUUACCUUCCCCGCCUAAAGUCGGGCCCAAUGCGCGGUCUAGAUUGUAUUAUACGUCAAUGAAACAAACCCAACUGCGGAGUUAGGGGGUUUGAGGUUUACGCUGCACUCUAACGCUACAAGGAUGUUUUGUGGGUCCCUCCGAGGUUUGGUUGUGAUUUUACAGCUAAUGGUCCUCAUCAGUCAAUAACGACUCAACUUAGGAAGGACCCCUCGACAAUCCGAACGAUCUCCAGAUUAUCCAGCAAGCUAAAAGAUUUCCUUCAAGAACUGAGGCGUCAAUCAUUUAAUUGAUUAUGAAUGGAAGAUAUGAAGUUAAAAAAGUCCCCCGGCCAAAGGGGGUACCCCAAAUCCAAGAUGGCAGCCAAUUUUGAAAGACAAGAGGGUGAAUUUUUAAAAUGUUCGCGUGAUAAGGCAAGUGAGGUAUCAUUUCCUAUGUAAUUUUGGUCGUAGAUUUCAUUUAUGAAGUCAUAAAAGCCCUCCAGUCAAAGGGAUUGCUGCGAAUGCCAAGAUGGCGGCCAAAUUUGAAAGGCAGGAGGGUGAAUUUUUGAAAUGUUUACGUGAAAUCCAUAGUAAAAGUGAAUCAGCCUGACGUCAGGCUAUGUUUCAUAAACUACCCUGAGUCAGACUGAUGUCAGCCUGAAUUAUUGUCUGAAUAAUUGAAAUAUUCGCCUAGUGUAGCUAUUGAAAAUAUCUCCAGCGCCAGCUUUCCCAUUUACAUUAGGACUCUAGGUACUUUAUGGUGUAUUACCACAAAAUGAGGAACAAGCAUGCAAGGGCUCCACUUGUCCUCGUACUUACAGC